rnacentral:lncRNA from 7 species
GUGGAAAUCUGCCUCUGCCGCAGGGGAGCGCUUGGAGCGUCUUGAGGCACAUUGAAGAUCCUGGAGUACAUCGUUGAGCAUCCAGCUCUGCAGUCAGGGCCCUGGGCAGGCCUGCCGGGCACUUGGGAGAGCUUCUGGCUGUGGGUUCUGCAGGUUUGCUGCUGCCUGGCUUUCAAAUAAGCCCUCUGGGUGAAGUGCACUGUGCUGUAUAGAUGGAUGCUUGACCUCACCUGGCAUAGCCUGUGCCAUUCCAGUGUGAUUCCUUGGGCGUGUGGCUGUGUCCCAUAGCAGGGCAUUGUACUGCAGCCACCGCAGGUUCCUGCCCAGCUCCUUGGCAAUGCAAUACAGUGAACUCCCUGCCCGUGUCCCCACAUGGAGCACACCCAAGUGUCCCUGCUGGAUGAGGAGCAGCGGCCUGCACUGCCCCUUGCUGACAAGCUCACCAGCCGUGGAACAAGAAGUGCUGCAGAGAAUGGACAUCCUGGGGCUGGGAACAUUCUCUCCUCUCAUCCAGGCUCCCGGAUCACCCCAGGCACAGCCAUCUGCAGAGUGCCUUCCUGCAGUUCUACCUGAGGCUCGAGCAUAAUCCUUCAUACUGGCAAGGAGGGUAUGGAAGGGUGAACAGUGCAGGAGCAGUACCUCCAUGCUGCCCUUCUGUGUCCCCUCUCUGUGGCUGGUUCCCCGGCCUCUUUCCAGACCAUGUGAGUGACAUGGGCAGUGUAGCAAGAGUGAUGUGGAAAGAUACAAAUGCCUUGCAAAUAAAAAUGAAUUGCUUCUCUCCCCAU